GAUGAAGAACGUAGCGAAAUGCGAUAAGUAAUGUGAAUUGCAGAGUUCAGUGAAUCAUCGAAUCUUUGAACGCACCUUGCGCCCUUUGGCUAUUCCGAAGGGCAUGCCUGUUUGAGUAUCAUGAACACCUCAACUCUCAUGGCUUGCCCAUGAUGAGCUUGGACUUUGGGGGUCUUGCUGGCCUAUGGUCAGCUCCUCUCAAACUAAUCAGCUUGCCAGUGUUUGGUGGCAUCACAGGUGUGAUAAAUAUCUAUGCUUGUGGUUUUCUGCCAGGUAACCUCCAGUGUAUGGAGGUUCGCUGGGGCUUAUAAACGUCUCUCCUCAGUGAGGACAGCUCUUUGAACGUUUGAUCUCAAAUCAGGUAGGACUACCCGCUGAACUUAAGCAUAUCAAUAAGCGGAGGA
rnacentral:misc_RNA from 1 species